GAUGAACGCUGGCGGCGUGCUUAACACAUGCAAGUCGAACGAGAAUCAACGGAUUGAGGAUUCGUCCAAAUGAAGUUGAGGAAAGUGGCGGACGGGUGAGUAACGCGUGAGGAACCUGCCUCGGAGUGGGGAAUAACAUUUGGAAACAGAUGCUAAUACCGCAUAACAACAAAAGCCGCAUGGUUUUUGUUUGAAAGAUGGCUUUGGCUACCACUCUGGGAUGGACCUGCGGUGCAUUAGCUAGUUGGUAAGGUAACGGCUUACCAAGGCGAUGAUGCAUAGCCGAGUUGAGAGACUGAUCGGCCACAAUGGAACUGAGACACGGUCCAU
rnacentral:rRNA from 1 species